rnacentral:rRNA from 1 species
UACAGAAGGUGCGAGCGUUAAUCGGAAUUACUGGGCGUAAAGGGCGCGUAGGUGGUUUUGUAAGUUAGGUGUGAAAGUCCCGGGCUUAACCUGGGGAUUGCGCCUGAUACUGCAAAGCUAGAGUACUGUAGAGGAAAGUGGAAUUUCCAGUGUAGCGGUGAAAUGCGUAGAUAUUGGAAGGAACAUCAGUGGCGAAGGCGACUUUCUGGACAGAUACUGACACUGAGGCACGAAAGCGUGGGGAGCAAACAGG